AGUAGAGAGACAGGCUGCAGUAACAGAGUAGGGAGACAGGCUGCAGUAACAGAGUAGGGAGACAGGCUGCAGUAACAGAGUAGGGAGACAGGCUGCAGUAACAGAGUAGGGAGACAGGCUGCAGUAACAGAGUAGGGAGACAGGCUGCAGUAACAGAGUAGGGAGACAGGCUGCAGUAACAAGUAGGGAGACAGGCUACAGUAACAGAGUAGGGAGACAGGCUGCAGUAACAGAGUAGGGAGACAGGCUGCAG